AUGAUGGUAAUGGGAGAGAUUACUGCCGAGCAGUAACGCCGAAGGAGUAAGCCCGGACCCGGGUGAAUCUCUCAGGCAAAAGGACGAUUACCGGACG
rnacentral:ncRNA from 1 species